CGCCGGCUAAUACCCCAUGCUUGCGUCCGGGUUAGAGGCCGGAUGCAGAAAGGCCGAGGCGCUGAGGGAGGGGGCUGUGGUCCAUCAGCUAGUUGGUAGGGUAACGGCCUACCAAGGCGAGGACGGAUAGGGGGCCUGAGAGGGUGACCCCCCACACGGGCACUGAGACACGGGCCCGACUCCUACGGGAGGCAGCAGUAAGGGAUAUUGCGACAAUGGGCGAAAGCCUGACGCAGCAACGCCGCGUGGAGGAUGAAGGCCUUCGGGUUGUAAACUCCUUUUCUGUGGGAAGAGGAAGGACGGUACCACAGGAAGAAGUCUCAGCUAACUACGUGCCAGCAGCCGCGGUAAAACGUAGGAGGCGAGCGUUAUCCGGAUUUACUGGGUGUAAAGCGCGUGCAGGCGGUCUGGUAAGUCGAGCGUGAAAGCUCCCGGCUCAACCGGGAGAGGACGUGCGAAACUGCGAGGCUAGAGACAGGUAGAGGCGUACGGAAUUCCGGGUGUAGUGGUGAAAUGCGUAGAUAUCCGGAGGAACACCAGUGGCGAAGGCGGUACGCUGGGCCUGGUCUGACGCUAAGACGCGAAAGCAUGGGGAGCGAACGGGAUUAGAAACCCCGGUAGUCCAUGCCGUAAACGAUGCUAACUAGGUGUUGCGGGUAAAAGACCGGCAGUGCCGGAGUUAACGCGAUAAGUUAGCCACCUGGGGACUACGGUCGCAAGGCUAAAACUCAAAGGAAUUGACGGGGGCCCGCACAAGCAGCGGAGCGUGUGGUUUAAUUCGAGGCUACACGAAGAACCUUACCUGGGCUUGACAUGACGGUGGUAGGGAACCGAAAGGGGACCGACCUUCGGGAGCCGCCACAGGUGCUGCAUGGCUGUCGUCAGCUCGUGUCGUGAGAUGUUCGGUUAAGUCCGGUAACGAGCGCAACCCUCAUCGCUAGUUACAAGUGUCUAGCGAGACUGCCCGUUCAACGCGGGAGGAAGGCGGGGAUGACGUCAAGUCAGCAUGGCCUUUAUGUCCAGGGCUACACACACGCUACAAUGGCCGGUACAAUGGGUCGCCAACCCGCGAGGGGGAGCCAAUCCACCAAAGCCGGUCACAGUUCGAAUUGCAGGCUGCAACCCGCCUGCAUGAAGUCGGAGUUGCUAGUA
rnacentral:rRNA from 1 species